GACAGUUUCAAAACAGUCGACCUCCCUGGGGCAAUUUAAAAAAAAAAAAAAUCUAUCCAGAAGGCAAAAGCUUCUCCCUUUCUCUCCUCCCUCAAUCUGGAAAGUUUUCUCAGCAGAGGCCAAGCGCAUUCCUGAGUUCUGGCUCAGGAAAGGACUUUCCCAACCUUCCAACAUUCCCGGCCCUCGCUCACCCUGCUGACCUACCAAGAGCUCUGCUUGCUCCACCCCAAGCAGCUGCAUUCCAGCUGUGGAGUUCUUAGUGAACUGCCAGGAGGCCGAGGGCUGCAAGAAUAGUGGCAGUGGCGGGCUGCCUGGCUCCAUGCCGGCUGGUGGUUCUGGAUUUUGAGACUCUGUGCCUUUUCACUGGGACUGACGGCCACCCAGACACACCGCAACAAUGAAUAGCCGUGGGGAUGAUUUGGGAGUCCAUCCUCAUCUACAGCCCUGCUAUCCCGAAUGUGCUCCAUCUUAGCAGCUAAGCAGGGUUGGGCCUGGACAGGACAAGGAUGAGAGACUCCAUUCUCCGAAGAGAGGCGCCUCCUGCAGUCUUCCAUCAACUCCAGGACCUGAAAGAACCUGUCCUCUAUCUUUGUUGCCCAAGCUGAUGUCAUGUUCUAAGGGACUGGAUUUGCUAAGGCUGCAACAAAAUGCCUCUUCAGAAGGACCCAGAUUGCCUGCAGUGUGAGGCGGGGACCUGAGAAACAAGGCAAGGACCGGCAACUACUCUCCCUAAGAUGGAGGCAGCAUGAUAACCUUUAAAAAAUUCAUCUUGCAAUGAAUUACAGAGAAGCAAAUCCGAUGGAGAGGAAUCUGGUGAGAGCAAACAGCCAUCACUUCCCCGGUUCAGAAAGGCUCCUCCCAGCCACAGGGAUGCUUUCCUCGCCGCCGCCGGUCCCCUCUUCCAGGAUGCAGGUCCAGGGCAAAGCCCUGACAUGAUUCACCCUGACGAUUGGGUCUAAAUCCACCAAGACAGUCAAUUUUGGCAUUCGUUCUCCCUUAGGAAUUUUACUAGCCGUCUUAGAAAAGCACAUAAAUUACUCCUCCCUCCCCCUUUUUUCCAUGCCUUCUCCUUCAUCCCCCAGCACCCCCCCCCCAGUCCAUCUUGAUGUCAUUUCAAAGAGAAGGAUGAAAAGAAAGGAUCUGUCAGGCAGUCCAGUUUGUGAGUGUGUCUUGCCAGGUCCCAAUG